rnacentral:rRNA from 1 species
GAUGAACGCUGGCGGCGUGCUUAACACAUGCAAGUCGAGCGAGUGAGUUCUUUGGAACGAUCUAGCGGCGGACGGGUGAGUAACACGUGGGCAACCUGCCUCAUAGAGGGGAAUAGCCUCCCGAAAGGGAGAUUAAUACCGCAUAAAAUUAUCGAGUGGCAUCACAUGAUAAUCAAAGGAGCAAUCCGCUAUGAGAUGGGCCCGCGGCGCAUUAGCUAGUUGGUGAGGUAACGGCUCACCAAGGCGACGAUGCGUAGCCGACCUGAGAGGGGGAUCGGCCACAUGGGGACUGAGACACGGCCCAGACUCCUACAGGCGGGAGCAGUGGGGAGUAUUGCACAAUGGGGGAAACCCUGAUGCCGCAACGCCGCGUUAGUGAUGAAGGUCUUCGGAGUGAAAAGCUCUGUCUUUGGGGACGAUAAUGACGGUACCCAAGGAGGAAGCCACGGCUAACUACGUGCCAGCCGCCGCCGUAA